rnacentral:lncRNA from 1 species
UACAAACAUGUUCAAAAUUUAUGUUAAAACCUAAUCUUCGAAGAGGUUUAGGCCUUAUUUGGGAUUUUUUUUUUCAAUAAAAAUAUGCUUUAAGGUGUUUGGUAAAAAUAAAAUAUUAUGAUUAUUGUAAAAGUAAUGGUCUUUUGACAGCAGUUUUUAAAAGCAAGCUCUGAGUUUCUUUUCAAAGUUGGUUUCAAAAUAAGCAGAGAUGAACAUUUAAUAAUUCUUUUUAAUCUCAAAAUACCAUGACAUCACCCCCACCUCCACAUCCAACUAUACCAUCACCUCCUCCACCACCACCUCCACCUAUACCACCACCACGUCGCCACAACCAUUACCACCUCCUCCUCAUUAACCUCCAGUAUCCACCAUCACCACUACCACAACCACAACUACCACCUUCACCUUCAUCACCACCACCACCACAUCCACCCCUACCACCACAUGAUUAGCACAUAACACUUUCAACAUCAUGUCUAUUUUAGUCAUUAUUCACAGUUACAACUGUUUUAUAUUAAAAUUUACCAAACAGUUUUGACAAGAUUUUUUGUACUAACAGCACUUCAAAAAUAUUGUUUAGCUACUUUACUUUACAGCUAAUUAUUUUCAAAGCACAGCUGAAGCAAUUUUUUUUUUUUAAGUAACAGCAAUCCCAAACUGACCCUUAAAGGGUUAAUUGAGCCAAAAUGACUUUUAUCAUGCAUUAAAUUAUUGAAAAAUAAUCGCACAGACCAGUGAUUUUAGGUUUGAGUCCUUAUGGCAUCUUGGUAACCUUUUUUUUUCCCCAUAAUUUUCAUGUGUGUGGAAAACCAAUUCUCUUGUAGUUUAGAUUACUGUUGGUAUUCAAAAUAAAUAAUAAAUAAAAAGCAAGAAAAUGAAGUGAAACGACAGCGUAUGAAGUUGCAAGAGAAGGUCAAUAACGUUAAAGCCCAUAUCACUUUUGCUUGUUUGGUAUUGGGAACUGCGUGCGCAGUCCGCUGUCCGCUGUCCGCUACAAAAAUCAGACAACGACCUCAUGAAGACCAAAGAAAAGCCCAAGAAGAUUAUUUUCAACAUCUUCCCCACUCGAAAACGACGACGUCACAAUGAGUGGUUCAGAUUAAAAACACCAAAGACUCACGCGUUGCAUAACACGCUUUAAUCGCAGCGAGUUGAAUUCCGCAUCGUAGCUCCGGGUGUGUUACGUGUAGAUCAAUCCGCGCGUGGGUCUAUGCAGGCAGUCGUUGUUGGUCUUUGCUAAAAAUGGCGGCGAGGUGAUAAAUCGAUUUUCCGUUGUUUCACCUUUUUACCAUACACAGUAACUCUGGCGGGAAGGGAAAGGUUGGUAAAGUUGUGGGACUCGUCUGUCAUUUUGGAAAAAAGCUGUUUUGCUCUUUUUAUUUUUAUAUUUGUUUUCUUCUUGUGGUCUGGUCCAGGUGAAAAUAGUACUCCAGGUACAGCUUGGAUCUGCUGCUCCGCACAUAUACAAGAAACUUUGAGCCUAACCAUUGAAUUGAAUGGAUCAUGUAUUACUUUCAUCUGCUUCUUUAUUUUUGACUACUUUGACUUAGCAUGAUUAGAAAAUACAAACUAAUUAUAACAGAGAGAAUAAAUAAAGCUAACUUGUCUCCACAAUUAUUGGAUAAAAGAAGAACAAAAAAUCAUGCAUGUAAUAUGUCUCUAAUGCGAGGCGAGAAUGUCGAUCCAUAGCGAUAAAAAAAAUCGAUCGAUUGCCACUCAAUACAUCCGCAACUAUUUCACAAAACUAAUUCAAUUAAAAUAAAUUCCUUCCAUGGUUACAAUUUAAGCUAGCUGCUAACGGUCCACAAUCAUAGCAGGUAAACAAUUUUUUCAAAAAAGAGAAAGAAAGUUAUGCAUGAUCUUUUUGACAGCUUUUUUUUUUUUUUGGGUGGUCCGAUUCUUUUACAACUUUAUACAUAAAAAUAAUAAUACAUAGAAUUGUAUCUAUAUCGGUAGUCACAACCUGCUGCCAUAUUUAUAAUUUAUUAUUCAAAAUAAAUGGUCUUUAUGUUAUUUUAUUUGUGCAUGAGAAAUUAAUUUCUAUCAAUUGACAAGUGUCCACUCUAUUAUUUACACCUUUCGAGACAGCUUCAGACUAAAAGUAAAUAGAUCUUAGAACCAGAGCAGUCCAGGCUUAAUUUGAUUGUGUCAUUUCAUAAAAUGACAAAAUGCUUCUUUCAAAAUUGAUUCUUAGUGGAUGAUUCCAUAGUUUUUGUAUAGAAUCGGCUACACCCGAUCCCAUUAACCUCACCUCAUUCGACUUGGUAGCCCUAAAAAUCCCUAAUUUCUCAGCCAUUGCUUUAAAGUGAUCAAUGUAGAUCGGUGCAACGUGAUUACGUCCACAAAGUUAUCGUGACUGUAUUUCUUGAAAGUGACCAAUGUACAAUGUACGUACGCACGGGGAGGCUUAUACUGAUUGUACUGAUGAUUGUACUGGUCAAAAACCAAAGUCACAAGUUGUCAUAUUUAGAAGGAGAAGACUAAUUUAUAGGUCCUGGUCGGGCAUGCAUUAUUGGAUUCACACGGACACGGCUCUGUCAAUGCAAAAUUGAAAUGCAACCCCAUCAAACUAUAAGCUCUGUCCGACACAUGUACUGUGUACACCAAACGGCUUUGUUUAAUUAACGUGGUUUAGAGCAUUUACCUUUGUAUGCGUAUGAGGUCGUAGAUUCGAUUCCCACUUUUAAUUAUCGUAUCAAACUGUUAACUGUUUUCCAAUUGAACUUCUGAAAAUGAACUUUCAAACACAAACCUUAGUUUGACUGUACUUUGUCUUUGAUACAAUACAGGCAAGUCUCUGUCCUUCGAAUGCUUUCAUUCUCUCAAAACAAUAAUAGAAUCCAUGAGACGAGAGGGGUUCAUGGGGAUUGCAAGGCUCCAAGACAUGAACAGCCUUGUCUAUGUGCAUUUGAGAAAUAAAAUCAAUUUUUUGGGUAUUUGUGUGGAAGGGAUGAGAGGGGACAUGCUUUGGUCUAGCAUGAAAACCAUGAUUUGGACAUGUCAGGAUAUGGGGGCUUAGUUUAUAUACAGCCCCAUGUGACCCCUUAGCCAAAAACCUUCCAUUUUAUCAAGUGGAAAGUGACACAACUAAAUCCCAUCUUUGCCCCACCAAUGUUUUCUUUUCUUUCUUUUUCUGUAUAUUUUUAAAUAUAUUUUUUUUUCCUUAACUGUAUAUACAAUUUGUUUGUUUUGUUUACCAGGAGCAGCAACUCAUCAGGUCCCUCGCUGAGUCACUAUGCCCCAUCCAUCUGAGUUUAGGGUACGUGCGAUUUGAAUUUGCUAGAAGGACAUGUGAUCUUUUCUUGGCACGCCUCAAUGUGUGUUUGUGAAAGAAAAUGAAAGAAACAUGGUGAAUUAAAAUAGGAGUUGUAGUUUGACUAGCUAAUCCUCAUGACCCGAAGUCUUGGAGAGAAUUCAAUCGAACCAUCUAAAUUGAUAGAUGUAUUACCCAAAGAAAAUUAUAAAAAUUGUUGUGUAUAUAGUCUUUAUUACGUGUUACUCAUGUGACGAGCCAACGAUAAAAUAAUAUAUCAUUUUAUUUGACGGCCAUAAUUAUGAAGAGCUUCUCUCUUUAUUCAAGUACAAUUGAGAAUGGUGGUGGGUGCCAUCAGCCAUGUUCUUUCCUCUACCCUCAAGGCAAGUUCAUGAGGAAAUUAAUAUUAUCACGAUUCUCCUACUUACCAAACAGAAGCAUUUGAAGGAUUAAGAAAUUAAAAAGCAAUGAAAUUACACAAAGAGUACGAAAUAAACAUGUUGUUGUGAACGUGGGCUGCUCAAGCAAUGACAGCUCCUAGCUAUGAUUUGAGGACUUGAAAGUAAAGUAUUGAUAACAAGUCUAUAAACGGGGUUUGGAGGCCAUUACUCCUCUUGUACUUUUCCUAUUCAUUUGACUCUUAAGAAUUAUUGUCCGUACUUAAAAGUCCAACCCCAUGAAAAAAAAAAUUACGUAACUUUAAUGUGGACCAAGCCAUAUAUAAUCAUUAUAAUUCAAUACACUAUAGUGUGAUACAAGAGUAUGAUGACGCGGUUUAAUUUAUUUACGUGCUAUAUAGUGAAUUUAUUAAUAUUAUACUUUAAAAGUGAGAAAUAAUAAUUAUAUUAUCCACUCAUAUUAUAACAUGUAGAUAAAUUAAAAAAGAAGAGAAAACUUCAAACGUUACAGAAGCCCAAAGUUCCAAGGCUUCCUUGGGUUUGGUUUUAAGAGCCCAUAUAUUUUCUUGGAGAACAUGUUCUGGUAAGGAGCUAGCUCAAAGAGCAAUUUACAUGAAUGUUUAAUUAAACCAUCCAAAUUAACCUCCAUGAAUGAUGAUGUAUAACCACAUAAGUAAUUCAUAUCUUUUGUUCAAUCCUAUAUACCCUCUUUACUUUAUAAGCACCCUUACGUGUUACUCAGUAAUUAGAGAAUCUCUAACUGAUUCGACAACCUUUAUUAAGCUACUUCUGUUAGAGAUGCUCUAAUUUUUUAAACUAAAAAGUAAAGAGCUUUUGUUUGCAAUACAGAUAACUUUAUUUAGCUUUUUGAAGAUGUAAAACUUUAUGACUUUAAUUGCAAGUUAUAAAAACUUCUUCCAUGCAACUUAAAGCUGAAAAAAAAUUUCAAUUACAAAACUGGGUGUGGACAAGUCCCAAUGUUUAGAAAAUUAAGGUUAUUAGCUAUACAUAGGUCAUAUAUUACUGUCUUUUUGUACACUUUAUUGAAUGAUAAGUCAUUAAGGUUAGGUGUUUGUCUGGUGGCCAUGAUUAAAAAGCAAAUGAUCACAAGUCAUUGCAAUCUAAUUCAUUUGCAUAUAGAAUUGUAAAGUGGUUAAGCUAGCAGACAAGGUUUGCUUUUGGCUUGAUUUUCUUGUUUGCUUAGGGUCCAUUGUGCCUCUAUCUCCUCCUCCUCUUUCAUUGUCUUAGCUUAAGCUAAAUGGUGGCUGCAAGCUAUCAAAAGAAGUGCGAAGACCAUGUGUUUCCCUCUAAAAAAAGAAAAUUAUCUUGUUUCAAUUCAAGUCCCUCUCACUGAAACAAAAGUUUCCGGAUGAUGAUUUGGUCAUCUAGAAAAAAAAAAUCAUAUUAUUAUGAGCUACCUCGUUAAAUAGUAUAUAAUAUUUUGAAUAUAAUUGAUGUUUGGUUUUGAUUUUGAAAGUUGUAUGGUUGUUUUUUUGUUUUUGAAAGAAAGCGAUGAAUUAUAUUAAAGCAAAAUCACAAUUAUUUAAGAUCACUUAACAAAACAUCUUGAAUGAUAUUGGGAGGAUCCCCACAUCAACAAAAUAAGUCUGAUCAAGAUAAAGCAUAACAAGCACGUCUAUGAGCUACUUGAUUAGUUUCACGAAAAACAUGAACAAUCUGGCACAUGAGCCAAAAGAAUUAUGCAAUCUUCAAUAAUUUAUAUUUUUUUCGUGCUAUGUUCAAUCAACUAUAUAUUAUAUAUGUUAUGAUUCAAGAUGAUAAUAGAGAGCUUGAUGGCUGCAUUUGACCUUUGUUGCAGGCCGAUCAACGCAAUGAAGUGUUGAGCAAGGUGUUUGACAUAAAAAAAACCAAUUGAAUUGAUAUCCUAAGUCAAAAAUGACUCUGCCCCUCCCCAAAGAAUCGGUGGAUUACAUUGAGAUGAGAUAAGGUCAAAAUCCUUUACAAAAUAUUUAAAAUUCAAGCUUGAAAUAUGAGAAAUGUUACAUCUGGGCAGCCCAAAGGCCCAAAGGCCCAAAGAAAGUUGAAUUUGGGCUGAAGUGUUUUCAAUAACAAAAUCAAGAAAAACUGAAGGACCCAUCAAUUUUUUCAAUUUUUUUUUUCUUUUUAAGGGGUAAAUUUGAUACUCUAAAUUUUACUAAGUGGGGAAAGAUACUUGUGUUGAGUGCAAAUAAAAGUACCUUUUAAAAGAGCUUUUUUUUAGGUUACAUACAGUUUAUUGGAUAAAAUUGAACUAAAAAUGUGGAUAAAUCGAAUUUAAUUUUUUUUCGAUUUAACCAAUUUUUUCAUGAACAAUCCAGAAGAAAAAAAAACUUAAAACUUAAAUAUUUUACAGCUCAAAAAUAAGAUUUCCUUAUGUUUGUUAAAUAAGUAUAUCCGAUCAUUAGCAAUUUAAACAAAAGAUAUUUUAACAAGAAGUGGAAUUAGUAUGCACUUCUUUUCUAAGCAAUUUGAUAAUGAGGAAUCGUAGAGGCAUAUUCUAAGUUGUUAUGAUACUGUACUUCGCAUUUUAUUAACAGCGGUGCAGGACCCAUCUGAUCAACCGUUAGUUUCCAUCAAGAAAACAAUCUUCUAAUCCAACGGUCCCAAUUAAGGUAGCGGAGGACCCAUCAGCAAAGACUGUUUCAUUUUUCUUCGGUAACCAUCUCCAACACGGUUUCUCAACCAAUCAGAGUGAGCUGUGAGCAACGAAACAUACCUUCUAGGUGGGGCCUGUUUGUUUGGGGCGCAAUCAUAAACUUCGGCCACGUAUGCAUUAAUUAUGAGCGGAUAAAGAAACCUUCUUUUUCUAAAACAUCCAAUUCGUUUUAGAAAUUAUAGAAAUUAUUAAAUUAAUAGAUAAAUAUCAUAAAUUAUAUAAUAUAAUUAAUAUAUAAAUAGGAAAAACCCAAAGCAAAGCCACCACUGUAUUAUCAUCGUCAACCAAACCAAACCAAACCAAACCAAGCUCACGGGAUUUCGUGGACUUUCUGAUCAAGAAGCUCUCUUUUUGCUUUCUGGGUUCGUCUUCAGACUUCACGAGGUUCGAUUUUCAUCUACUAUUUCGUAUUAACUCCCUUUCAUUUUUGUACCCUGUUAAUAUAAUCUGUUGAUAAUAACCCAGUAGUCUUUUGAUGUCAGAAUUGACUUCUGAUUGUCUUUCUGUGUGUCAAAAUCUGAGUUUUAGAUGGUGAAUUUCAUGGGGGUUUGAUUUUCAGUAAUAUUUUGUGUUUUUUUCUUUUUAAUUUCAAUAUUUUAUAAUCCAUCUGAUCAAGGGUGUUAAUUAAGAGAUAAAGAAGAUGUUGUUUACUUUUAACUUGUGUAAUUGAACUGAAUUGCUUUUGAUUUUUACUUUUUGCUUCUGUUGUAUGCUAAUUUCAGGCAGCAUGGCAAAGAGUUACUUCAAGCAAGAACAUGAUCUUGGUAUGUAGUAUUUUUCAGCCCAAAGAGUUGUUUUUAUUACCUUGUCGAGUUUAUUUAAUAAAGGAACGUUAGUCAAAGAAUUUUGAUGUUUAUGGUUUGUAUUAUUUUCAGAGAAGAGACGGGCAGAGGCUGCUAGGAUCAGAGAGAAAUACCCAGAUAGAAUUCCAGUAAGAAUUUGAAAUCCAAACUCAGUUAUCCAUUUUCAAUUACUGCCCAUGAUGUGAAAUACUUACACAUGAUUUUUAUGUAGGAAAUUAUUUGAAUGGUUCUGUAUUAUUUGUCUCUGGCACUAAAUUUGCGUAAAUUAUUAUGCUUGUCUGUUUUAAUGAGAUUGUAUCAGCUAAUAGAGAAGUUGAUUUCAGAUGUGUUAAUAGUUUCCACAAGCAUGCAUUCUUUUUUGGAUUUCUUACCCAUGUGUGUAAAAUCUUCAUUUUAUGAUUUGAAGGUGAUUGUGGAGAAGGCAGAAAGAAGUGAUAUCCCAAACAUUGAUAAGAAAAAGUAAGCUUUACUUUCUCUCUUGAUCCCUGAUAUAUAACAUUGCUGCUUGUUGAUUCCAUUUUUCUUGUUUUUCUUAGUUCAAUUUCUAGCAAAGUUUACAUCUUUCCAAUUUAGGACCAAAGUUUAACUGGCCCUCUCUUUUCUCAUCUAAUUCUUCCAAAGCCUUAAGUUGGAUGUUCUUUAUUUGUUAUGUUUAAUAUAUCGUUAUUGGUAAAAUGGCGAAAAUUUGGUUAUGUUUGAUUGCCUCUCUAUGAUAUUUCAACAACAUCCGUUGCUUUUUGACUGUUUCUUUGACUAUAAACGGAAUCUGAAAAUUACAGGUACCUUGUCCCAGCUGACCUAACUGUUGGACAAUUCGUUUAUGUUAUCCGCAAAAGGAUUAAGUUGAGUGCAGAGAAGGCUAUCUUUAUAUUUGUGGACAAUGUACUCCCACCCACAGGUAAAUUCUUGUGAAAUUGUCUUUUAGAGGAUGGUGCCUUCUGCUUGGCCUUUUGAUUGAACAUGUCCCAUCUAUAAUGUCUUCUGUCUUUUGCAGGUGCAAUCAUGUCUGCCAUAUAUGAAGAGAAGAAGGAUGAAGAUGGGUUUCUCUACGUCACUUACAGUGGUGAGAACACUUUUGGUUAUCAGGUUCCGCUGUAGCCCUCGAUUAGUUGGAUACCCGCCAUCUUUCUUCCAGUCCCAGCAUACCUGAUUUUAUCGCUUCAUCUUCAUUACCUUGUUCUGAAUCCGAUGCUGCUUUUAUCAUGCCUAGUUCAUAAACACCUCUGUGGUGAUAAUGUGUAUAGUCACAUAUUGUAUAUAAUUUCUAAGCUCCGGUUUAACAUUAAAGUUUCUUGCUUGUUGCUAUUCAUAAUCAUUCAAUGAAGCUACCGGUUUAUUGCCAGUUUUGGCUGGGUCAUGGUUAUGGGAAGCUGUGACUUUGACCAAAGUUUUAAUGCAAACCUUUCUUCGUGUUGCAUCUUUUGACAUGCCACAAUGCAUACUAAUGUGCCUUAUGACAUAACGUUUGCUGCCUAGAACAUCAAUCUCUGCAUAUUUUCGGGUGCCUUCACCGGCACUCACUGCCAGUUAAUUGCUAGGAAGAAUUGUCUAGACGGCCAUGAAAAAGAAAUAGAAAUAGAGAGGAAAACAGAGUGAUUUUCCCCCAUUUCAACGCUUACAUUUAAAGCUCUAUCUCUUUCCGUCUCUCUCUCUCUCUCUCUCUCUCUCUCUCUCUCUCUCUCUAAGUUCAACGCCCAAAGAUAAAGACACUGAUUAUUAAAAGGGGGCGCAAAAGCCAUAAAUGGGAGAGAUUGAGCUGUGUAUUUGUCAUGGGCCGGAUUAAUUUUCUUUGGGUCUAAGUGUCAUGGGAGAUUGAUCAAACCCAAGCCUUGUACGCAACUUCUGUUGUUAAUCUAAUGAAGCUUUGGUUGGCUAAGAACUUUUAUACUUCUAUACGUCUAUAUGCUAUGCUAAGAGCACUUCCACUCCUAUGGGCAAGGGCUGUCACUAUUCACGUGAAUAGUGGCAUUCCUUGCAAUUUUGUUUUCACCCUUAGAGCAAUUCCACUCAUUUGCCAUGACAAAGGACAAAGGAAAGGCAAGAGCUAUUACUAUUUACGUAAAUAGUGGCAGCCCUUACAUGGCUUGUGGUGUUUCCACCCAUUGCCAUGACAACCACUAUUCACAUGAGAUAUGAGGAGUAAUGGAUCAAAGCAAAGGAUAGCUUUUUAGCUGCGAGCGGAUGAGCGAGAAAUGGAAGUGCCUUGUUAAGCGACUCCUUCCUGCCCCUUACCCCUUGGUGUAAAUAAGAGUUUUUGGUGUGGGAAGUGAAUAAUAUGACAAAGUAUUUAUUUAAAAAAAAUUAAAAAAAUUCUGAAAAUUCUAGUAUUUUUUUAUAUUAUUUAUUGUUUUUUUAUAUAAAAAAUUCGUUGCUGAUGUCAUCGCUGACGUCAGCAAACCCAAGCAAUAGCCUAGGCUGUUUUUGCCUUUGGGCUAGCUUGAUUUGCUGGGACCCAGCUGCUGCCCGGGCAGCUUAGGCCCACUGGAAUGCCAACCUACGAUUUGGGCUCCCUUUUGCCCUGGCAAAGGCAACCGCUGGAGUUUAUGGGCUAGGGUAAGGGCAAUUAUUACUCACAUGAGAUAUGAGGAGAUGAAUUUGUAUAGAGUUUUUAGUGUGGGAAGUAAAGAAUAUGGCUAGGUAUUUAUUUUUAAAAAAUUCAAAUUUUUUGGUAUUUUUUUCCUUUUUUUUUCUUUAGUUGCUGACGUCAGCAUCAUGUCAUUUUGCCCAAGCAGCAGCUCAGGCUGAACUUUCCAGUGGGCUUGCCCAGGUUGCUGGGGGCCCAUUGUUUGCCCAGACUGGAACUCUUGCGCUGGAGUUGCCUUUGGGUGCUUGGGCCCCUUCUUGUCAAGGCUCCCCCUCAGUGGUGGAAAUGCUCUAAGAGCAGAUAACUUGUAGAUAUUAUAUGUUUUUCUUUUUCUAGACACAAUUUAUUAAUUGUUCGUUGGACUUGAGCUUCUGCUAGUUAAACUUGGAGAUGACUUGUAGGUAUGAAAUUGUACUUUCCUAAACAGACUUUCUUAAUUGUUCAUUAAACUUUUGAAACAAGCUAAAUUUGUUACAAGCCAAGGGAAAAACUUUGAGAACUUAAGAUACUUGUCAAAAGAAAAAGCUUGACUCCUUAAAAUUGGGGAGAAACACCUCCUUAAAACAAAUGGGAUUCUGAGACUAGUCAAUUUUAUUUAUUUUGAAAUUCUUUUAACUUUCUUUGUUUUGGAAUUUGAGAAGUGUCAAAAUCUCAGGAUGAGCUCCUUCUUUUUUGUUUUUUUUGUUUUUUGUUUUGAGGAUAUUUCCUAUUGAGAGGGGUGAUUACAAGGAUGCUAGGACUCGAACCCAAGACCUUUCCUUUUAUUGGGGAGGGGGGAGGGGGGGGGGGAAGCAAUUUCUCCAAACCACUACAUUAGUAGGUCCUUUUACGAGGAGCUCCUCCUUAGUUUUAAAGAGACAAACUUUAUCGUUUUGCUUGUGUAGAUCGAUUUUUCUUUGAGAAAUAACUUUGUCAAAUGGGUUAUGCCUUGUUUGUGCUCAAAACUAGAUGAACAAAAGUGGGCCCAAACUUAAAGAUAUGAUGUGGUGUGAUCUGCCUUCAGUAAGAGCUUCCCUUCGGUAGGCUGAAGGUUAUCUGCAAGGAGAGAAAUGGAAGAACAAGGAGUGAGACCUAAGGCACAGGUAUGAUAUCGACCGAAGGCCCUUCAAUACUAAAGUUAGUUGAAGGAGAUAUGAGUUCGUUAUAGACAAGGCAAUGUCAUAAGUGUCAAGUAACUAUUACCUUGUGCCCUAGGGGCAAUGGGCUUUAUUUAUAGAGGUUUUGGGUGUCCUCUUGGCGUAAACUUUCGAUGUGGGACUCAUGGGAAUAGCUUGGGGGGCUGCCAUAUGUCCUAUAGAGUAUACCAAUAAGGAACCCAAUAGAUUCUUGCAAGAUACAUUUUGGGAGGUUAAAUCGGCAGGGGGUGACGAGUGCACUUGCCGACUAUCAAUUGUGAGCCUGCGAGACUGGGUUGGCCAGUGUAGAAUCGGUAAGACACCCACCGCUCAUAAGGCUGGGUUGGCCAGCUUGAGCUUCUGAACCCUGUUUGGUGUUAGGUUCCUUCCACGUGUCAUGGCAUGAGAGGCUGGUCAUAUUUGAUACAAACAUGCAUGAUAUGAGCCAAGCAUAGCACACAAAGAAUGCUAGAACAAGUAAUCAAACGUCACAUGAGCAAUUGUUAAUGAAAGAUAAGGUUAGUAAUUCAACGUCACGUGAAUAAUUGUUAACCGUUGACAAUAUGAGCUACAAAUUAUGUUGUGACAAACAUAAAUAAUAUUUCAAUAUAUUUCUGUAACAUAUGUUAUUCUUAUUCAAUAAUAUGUGAGAAUUAUUUGUAUAAUACAUGAAUUUUGUGUGUCUUACUGAAAAUUUUGAAAAAAAUACGUGUAUUAAAUGUUAGAAAUACUUACGUACAUGUACAAUACGACUAUUGUACAAUUACUUUUUAAAAAAAGUGAGACGUGUAUAGAACACUAAUGUAUUAUUGAAAAAUAUAUAUAUAUAUAUAUAUGUAAAAGCCUAUAGCCGCUUGUCUAUACUAUUUAUGAAAGACAAUUUUUUUUAAAAACGUAACGCCGCAUGGCUAUACUAUUUUUGAAAAAAAUUAAAAAAUCUCGUAUAGCCGCACGGCUAUACUGUUAAAAUAAAAUAAAAUUAGUGUAGCCUCCUAGCUAUACUAUUUUUUAAUAUGAAAAGUGGACCCCUGCGAUAGGCGCCACGUGUCAACAGAAGUCUAUUUUAAAAAAAAAAUUAAAAACAUAGAGUAUAGCCGUGCAGUUGCACUAUUUUAAAAAAAAAAAAAACCGCUCUAGCCAUAAGGCACCACGUGUCAAAAAUAAGUAUCGCAGCCCGGUUAUACUAUUUUUUUAAAUACAAAAUCAUAGUAUAGCUGCAGGGCGAUACUAUUUAAAUACAUUAUAUUUAAAAGGUAAAGCCGACCGGCUAUACUAUUUAAUAAUUUUUAUUUUUAUUUUAAAAAGGACCUUCCUAUUUGCAUUAGUUUGUACUUUAUAGAUCUUAAUUUGCUAGUUUCAACAUAUCCGAAGUAGAUAUUAAUCUUCCACUAUAUAAUAUUUCAAUAUAUUUUUUUUUUAUAACCUAUGUUAUUCUUAUUCAAUAAUAUGUGAGAAUUAUUUGUAUAAUACAUGAAUUUUGUGUGUCUUACUGAAAAUUUUGUAAAAAAUACAUGUAGUAAAUGUUAGAAAUAUGUACGUACAUGUACAAUACAAAAUAUUGUACGUUUGCUUUUUAAAAAAAUGUGAGACGUGUGUAGAACACUAAUGUAUUAUUGAAAAAUAUAUGUGUAUAUAUAUGUAAAAGUCUAUAGCCACUCGUCUAUCCUAUUUAUAAAAGACAAUUUUAAAAUUAUUAUAUAUAAAAAAAAAACCUGCAAAGCCGUACGGCUAUACGAUUUUUGGAAAAAAAAUAAAAAAUCGUGUAUAGCCGCUCGGCUAUACUCUGAAGACCGCAAAGGCACCCACGUGUAAAAUAGUACAGCCGCCCGGCGAUACUGUUUUAAAAAAUAUUUAAAAAAUGAGUAUAGCCGAUUGACGAUACUAUUUUUUAAUUUAACACUCCCAGCGAUAGGCGCCACGUGUCAACAGAAGUCUAUAUAAAAAAAAUAAAAAUAAAAACAUGGAGUAUAGCCAUGCGGCUGUACGAUUUUUUUAAAAUUAUAUAAAAAGAAUACCCUCUAGCCAUAAGGUGCCACGUGUCAAAAAUAAAGUAUAGCCGGGCGCGGCUAUACUAUGUUUUUAAUAAAAAAUCGUAGUAUAACCGCCCCGCGAGAAUAUUUAAAUACAAUAUAUUUAAAGGUAAAGCCGCUCGGCUAUACGAUUUAAUAAAAUAAAAAAAAAGGAAAACUGAAAAAAGGACCUUCCUACUUGUAAUUUAUAGAUCUUAAUUUGCUAGUUUCAACAUAUCCAAAGUAAAUAUUAAUCUUCUACUAUAUAAUAUUUCAAUAUAUUAUUCUUAUUCAAUAAUAUGUGAGAAUUAUUUGUAUAAUACGUGAAUUUUGUGUGUCUUAUUAAAAUUUUUGUAAAAAAUACGUGUGUUAAAUGUUAGAAAUACAUACGUGCAUGUACAAUACGACUAUUGUCUAUUUGCUUUUAAAAAAAAACGUGAGACGUAUAUAAAACAUUGAUGUAUUAUUGAAAAAUAUAUGUGUAUAUAUAUGUAAAAGCCUAUAGCCGCUCAUCUAUAUUAUUUAUGAAAGACAAUUUUAAAAUAAAUAAAUAAACUAGUAAAGCCACACGGCUAUACAAAUUUUGAAAAAAAAUAAAUAAAUCGGGUAUAGCCGCCUGGCUUUACUACAGAGCGCAAAGGCACCCAUGUGUAAAAUAGGAUAGCCGCGCGGCUACACUGUUUUUAAAAAAAUAAACAAAAUGAGUAUAGCUGCAUAGCUAUACUCUUUUUUAAAUAUAAAAAAGUGGUUCCCUAGCGAUAGGCACCACGUGUCAACAGAAGUCUAUUUUGAAAAAAAAUAAAAACAUGGAGUAUAGCCGUGCGGCUGUACUAUUUUAAAAAGAAUACCGUCUUGCCAUUAGGUGUCACGUAUCAAAAAUAAAUAUAGCCGCCCGAUGAUACUACGAAUGAAUUGGUCUCGUACAUGUUCAUGGUAGGCUGACCCACAGGUUUUAAAAUGGCCUAGGCCCAAUAGCUGUUAAACUGAAAAAACAAAACAAUCCAAACUAUUUGGCCAAGGCGGGGGUGAUGUGGCGGGAAAAGCAAGUGUGAGGCACAUGGAGUACAUGCCACGUAGAGUGCAUACUAAAUACCGACGCUGGUGGGGAAUGGUGGACCUUUCCGUGUCCACAAAGGAGCUGCAUUUGACGGUCUGGCCAUGCUCCUUUGUCUCCUCAUCCCAUGUCCCUACCUCCCACUACAUUCUUGGACACUUAUGGGUCCUUUCAAUUUCUUCCAAACUUCAUUUACAACUUCAUACAAUCUCUUACCCAAGUCAAUUUCACUCAUUUAACUUAACUAGUUACAAUAACUUGUGUUUUAUCUGUGUGAUUAAUGGCGCAUACGUGAAUUAGGUCAGUUGGAUAAUACAAUGUACUCAUCUUUCUACACUCGAAUUCGAAUAAUUUUUUAUAUAAUUAAAAUUGACUGAAAUCAGACAUCUUAAAAUCACUAGAGUAAAGAUAUGUUAGCUAUGGUAAAAAGUAGAAAGCCAUAAUGUAAUAAUACUUUUUCACACAAAAACAUGGAAUGGGGGAUCCUUCAGAAAUACAUGGGUUGGAGACCAAAUUUACUCAAAUCUUCACCUCGCCAAAAAAUUCUUAUAAAUCAUCUGGUGAUGCUACAUGUAUGAUAUUUACUUAUGAUGAAUACUUCUCUAAUAAGAGUAAAAUUCACAUAUACAAGUGGAUCUCACAUUUAUCAGAAAUGUAAUUCGUAAGUGUAAUACGCCUAUACAUAUUUACGUUAAUUUUGGAGUUAACUCACUUUCCUCCCUCUCUCAAUAUCUAUUCCCAUGCAUUAUGUCUACUAGAUACGUAGCUCAUAUAAUGGUUUUCAGCUUCUUAGGGCCCUCCAAUUGAUUAAAAAGUGAGAGAUGAAGGGAAAAGGGGACAAGGGGAGCCCCCAAUAUCUCAAGUUUGGUUUUACAGGUUCAUCACCCAAACACCUGCAUGUUCUCUUUAAGAACGGUUAUAGUCCCAUACACAACCUGCAUUUAUUGCUCUUCCUUCCCCUCUCACUACAAAUACUCUGCAAAACCUAACACUUAACCCACUCACAUAUACAAGACUUUCAGUUAUUUCCAUUACAUAUUCUCAUCGUCUGUGUGUGACUUUAAGUCUUCAAAUCCUUCAGAUCAUAAUCUCCAAUUUCUUUUGUCUCUCUCAUAAUAUGUCUUCCAUUGUUCUUCUCUUUUUUCUUUGUCUUUCUAUCCAUGCAUGCAAUUCCCGACUUCUAGGCCUUGUUGAUAAGCAAAGUGGCAGUAAAUCCUACCAUUCUGUUGAGGUGGGUGCAAAUAUUUCAACAUCUGAUUAAAUUCUUGUACAUAAUAUUUUGAGAAGUUCUGCCAUGGAGUUUUAAUUCCAUCAUGUGGUGCACACAUGCCUUAUUUAUUGUUAUUUAACCAAAAAAAAUUGGUCAUCAUAGUACCUUGUUGAAUUGUUAGAACUGCAUGCGAUAAUCUGGAGUACUUAAUUGUUUCCCAUCACCGGUUGAAAGCAAACCAUGUGUCUCAUCACAUGACCCUAUCACGUGCUGACAAAGAUAGACACAUACAACGUGCGAAACAUAUGAAAGAAAUCUAAUAACUUAAGUGAUUAUUAGUUUUAACUUAUUGAAGCGGCCUAAUUAUUUUAGGGUUGGUGCAGGAUGUAGCGAAAGUCUUAAGUGAGACUUUAAAGUCAUCGAUGAUGCCUACCAUCUCAGUUGAAUACCAAGCACAACAAAUAAACGCUGAAACAUUCACCCAUGAAAGUAUCCCGACGGCUCUUUUGAGGAAACAAGGGCAUGCCAAUGGACCAGCCUCAGGUUCUUAUAAAUCUUCGAAUCAAUUAGGUCAUUAUUUUUUGGUUUUGUAUAUAUAUUCUUGUUGAUGAUGAAGAUAUGCAUGGUGGUGUGCAGGAUAUGAUAUUAUUGCAUUAUCUUCCCAGGUUGAGCUGAAGAAAUUGAUUGAAAUGCAGGUAUAUAAGUUACUGGGUGCAAUUUAGUAUUUUUAUUAGAUUGUUUUGAAUGAUCUCUGUUACACUGGUGGUGCAAGUGGCCAUAUCUACUGUAACCAUGUCCCCUGUGAGGAAAUCAGGGCAUGUGGUCUGCUCAUGCAUGCACUGUACAUAUAGCCGUUUGUGAGAUACAUGAUACAUACAUAUAAUAGGGCUGAGAAAAAAAAAGGUGUGUAAAACCUAAUUAUGUUAUGAGUCUUAUGUUUAUGAGCUAGAUUGUGAAUCUGAUUCACAUAUUAAUAUGCUAAGAGAACUUAAUCGAUGAAUCAGAUCGAUUCAGUAUUUGCAAUUGUCAUGACUCGUGAUAAGAUAAUCUUUACAUAUAUGUAUCUAUAUCAAUUAUAUUUUGCAUGGAAAUUAUUGCAUAUGAAUAUUGAUGCUGUAUGAUUUUAGGGAUUGAAGAGGCAGGCACGGACAUUACUGGGAUCUGCAACACAUAACAUGGAGGAAGACAAAGAUUCGAAGGAAGAUGAAGCUAUUGAGGUCGUAGGUGUUAUGGAUUAUGCACAACCUCACAGGAAGCCACCCAUUCACAAUAGAAAGUCCUAGACAUAUCCGGAUUUUCUGCUUCUGGUGGAAUUUACUUCAUUUCUAGCUAGCUAGCACUUAAAGAAAAAUUAUAUAGUGAUUUGUCCUUGGUUGGUGGGAAAGGUGUUUGUAAUUUACCUGGUCUAUAGAAGAAAAAUAAAUAUAAAUAAAAACUCUCUUGCAAAACCUUGGAAAAGAAGAAGAAGAAGAAGAAAAAAGAAAGAUUCUGUCCUCGUGAUUGAUACAGAACACGUGUUUUCCUUUGCUGCAACAGUGACAAGUCCAGUAGUGACAAAAUGGUGAUUUGAUGGAUGAUGGCUCCUCUUUUUUAUUGUUUCUAUGUGUGUUUUUAGGUUGACGGAAUAAUAAAGGAUUGUAAUCUAAGUGAAACAUAUUACAUGGAUGUGUCGCAUGGAAACCUUCUUGCUUGUGUUGUCAUUGUCAUCCAUUUGGGUGGUAUUUCCAAGUUUCUCCAUUUCGAGUGAUUGGUCUAGUCAAAUAAGCUGCACGUUAGAGCAACUCCACCCAUUUGCCCUUAGCCAUGGCAAGGGGGGAGCUAGGGCAGCCACUAUUCACGUGAAUAGUGGUUGCCCUUGCAAAUAGUAUUUUGAGUUUCCACCCAUUGCCAUGGCUAAGGGCAAUUACUAUUCAUUUUUUUGUUUUUUCACAACUUUUUUUUACUUAAAUAAUUAAUUUGGAUAAUAUUUUCGGAUAAGAUUUUUGGGUUCCUACGUGUCAAUACUAUUCAUAUCGGAUAAGAUUUUAUUUUAUUAGUUGUAUUGGUUGGUAUUCAUUUAAAAAAAAAAAUUAGGAUUUGGUGUUAAAAGUGAAGAGUAUUGGUUGGUAUUUAUAGACACGGGCGGACCCAUAAUUUUUUUAGCGGAGGUGCAAUAUUGGCUAAGUAUGAAAAAUGGUUUUUCGGAAUAAUUAUUUUCUCAAGAUAAUUUUUGGCGGCUUUUAUUCCUUACACAUCAAAUAAGAAAACUUGAUUUUAUGGGAUUUUAAUAUGAAGUAUAUAUUGACUUAAUGAGCCAUCAUUUUUAGCCUAAAUCGUAUUUUGCACUAAAACCGAUUUUUCAUAUUUUGAUUUGGUGGGAAUUUGAUUUUCUAGUAUUUUUAUUUGAAUCCAAAUGGGGGGUACUUCCUUAUUUACAUUGUAAACUUAAGUAAAUGGAGUAAUAUAAAAAUAAAUUAAAGUAAAAGGACAAAGACAUUUACUUAAAUGUUGAAAAUGGAAAUAAGGUAUAGAGGAAAAUGUUGAGUAAAGAGUGAAUAAUAGUAGAAGUAUAAUGAAAUGUAUGAGGAUUGGUGUUGAAAGUGAAGGGUAUUGAUAGGUAUUUAUAGAAAAAAAAUAUCAGAAUUUUUUAAAAACAUUUACGAUUUUUUUCAUAUUUUUAUUGCCCAAAAAAGCCUCAGCCGUUGGAUUAAUUUGGAGAAGCAGAUCGGAAGGCUGGGGAGGCGACACGUGGCAGCGUACCUUGGACCUGGCGCGCUGACGUCAGCGUGACGCGAGGCUGACGUCAGCAACACGCGAGUUGGACCUCGGGCUGGUCUCGCCUUCGGGCUGGCCCGAGUUGGUGGGUCCCACACCACCCCCGGGCCUGGGCUGUACGCUGGAGCGACUUUUUUUUUUUUUCCUGCCCUCGCCUCGGGCUGGGCUCCCUCGCUGGAGCUGCUCUUAAAAAGACCAGGAAGGUGCAUCCAAAAUAAUCACGUUCAAUUAGUUGGUUGCUAAGGCUUGCUGCUUUUCUGUCGGGGACCAAAUUAUACUAGGUUCAGUUACGCAUGUACAAAUGAGUGAUUUUGAGUUAAAUUAUGAUAGAUUCAAUCGCGCAUGUACAAAUGAGUGAUUUUGAGUUGUUAAUGUGCUUACGAGUGAUUUUAAGUUGUUAAUGCAUUGUGAGGUCCACAUGCAUCAAUAGUUGACGCUAACCUUCCUCCUCUGAAAGUAUAUAGCUACCUACUUUCUAAUUAACCACACUUCAGAGACGGAUAUGUUUCACAAAUUGUUGACACCAUGCCCCCACUUUACAAUGAAUUCCACAUUCCAUUUUGGUGACUUAGAAAUGGUAGGGAAAUAAGUAAAACAAAAUAGCCAAAUUAUAUGUUUGCCCAUGUUCGGUAUCUAAGAAAGCAGUAGCAAUUCACAAAAUCUUCCAUAUAGGGGCUGAGUUUCACAAGCUGGCAAGAAACCAGCACAUGCUCUAUACACAAACUACAGUGGUUGGUUAUGGGCCACAACGUUUUGAAAUGAAUCGAUCUUUGGUGCGAGUAAAAGCUACAUGAUAGUAACUAGAUAUUUAUGUCUGGUAGCACAAAUAUUCAACCAAAAAUAAGCUAAUCAAGAUUCAAGAUUGGCAGGACCAGCGGUUCAAUAUGCGCUCUUGUUUGAUGAAGUAUUCUUUUAUAAAUUUGGAUUGUGGUUUCUUUAGAUUAAUCAAGUACUGCUGCAGCUGACAAUAAAAGGUUUAACGAAGUUUAUAAAUUCAGAGGUUCUGAUGCCCAGCUUCAGAUCGAUCUCGCCACCCCCCAACCAGAAGAAAUCAGGACUAAGUUUCUGAAUUGCUUCAUCCAAGAUCACCUGAAAGUGAAACCAACCCAUACAUCAUCACAUUAAGAAGAGCAAAAUCUGUCUACACACAUAUGCAAAUUCAUCUAAUCUUAUGCUUACUAAAAUUUAGUGUGAAAGUGCUAGGUUGUGGUCAUCACAGACAAUAACUACAAUGUCAUUUCAUAAUGUUUUGUGAUUUCUAGUUUAUGAUACAUCAUAUGACCCAUGAUAGGAAAAUGAGUAUCCACUGUUCAAGCAUUUUCUAAGUACUUCAGACAUUAUAAUACACUCCCUACACUAAUGCAUGUGCAAACACACGCAAAAGAGUGUUUGCUGUCUAACAAACCUAGCUAAAUAAUCUACCUCUCAAAAUAAAUACCUUCUUUUGGAAGAUGUGGCAGACUGGCAGACACUCGUUAAUCAAAUACAACCAAUACAAUGGACCACCAUUUGACAACCCAAAACUUGACACUCUCGGACUAAUAGACAGUUGAUAUCUGAAAAGUGGACCAGCUCAACAGCUGGUAUGAAGGUUGGCAUGACUGAACUUAUAAACAGGGUUCCUGGCAAUUGAACCUCGGGUCCUUCUGUGCUGGAGCUUAUCAUGAAAGGGAACUGAAGUAGUUUGUCUCAAGAACACAGGACAGCACAGGUGUAGCUUAUAGUUGUAGGGAGGUAAUGUUUACAGUUGUUGUAUAAGCUUAUGAAACCUUGAGAGCAUGUUACAGAAAGUUUAAAAGAAAUGGACCACAAUUUAGAUACAGUUUCCAUCCUAGUUUCAUCUAAUCAAUCACAUCAGACUUCUGAGCAAUCAGUUAAUUGGUUUUACAAUUUUCAAGGGACAGAUGCAAAGGCAAAGGAUCUUGAGUGACAAGUCAAGCAAAAAUAAUUCUGGUACCACGAGACCACAAAAAACAAUUCCAACUCCAAAGGGCAACAAAUACGUAGUAAAUAGAUGAAAGAAACAAGUGUUCACCGGAAUGCCUGUUUUCAUGCCAACACAUGUAACUCCGUUGUGCUCAAAUCCAGUCAAUUCUACUGAAGUUUCCUCAGGUGCAAGCCUCACUGCAUAAUCAAAUAACAAACAUUAUCACCUUCUGAAAUACAAUAAGAAAAAUUUAAUGUAAACCUUGAAGAUAUAAACAUAUUAAAAAACUCAUAACGGAGAACUGAAAGAAAAUCCAACAAUGCAGCAUAUUUUGGAACACUUUUUUUUUCUCUUGCAGAGAACUUUUGAACACUUCCACGGUAUAUACUUAGAAAUACAAAACGACGGUUUAUGAUAAAACAACAGGAGUAAUACAAAAGAAACAUAGACUGGAAUUGGACAGUCCUCUUUUUUUUUUCUUCCUCAACUGUCCGACGAGGCAGGAAAGGGUUAAGAAUGAAUAUGUUAUACAAUAACAUUGGAACAUGUCUCUAUGGAUUUAAAGGAGAAGGCUCACACAAAAAUUAUUAGUAUUUUUAUUUGCACACGUACAAAAUCCUGGAAGGCAUUUUCUUGGAGUUCCCAAGAAGAACCAUGUGAAAAGAGUGGGACCAACUUCCCCUGAGAGUGAAGGAAGAAAUGGGUGGAAUCUGAGAAGAUAGGAAUAAAGCCGUAUCAAAAACAGUUUGCCUAGGAAGGCUGGCAUUGAAGGAACUUUUGUAAUACUUCUACAGUGGAUGUGAAAAAGAGGGAUGACCAUAGGAAUAAAACAGGAUUAAUACUGAAGUACCAUAGCAUGGACGUGGAGCAAAUUUUUUGUUGUUUUAAAUCAACUGCCCACUAAAGCAAAAAUGCAUUAAGAAAAAAUGUUAUCUGAUAACAUUGGAACACAUCUCCAUGGGUUUAAGGAGAAGGUUCAAGCAGAAAGGAUAGUUUGAUCUACGCACGGAUAAAAGUCUGGAAACCAUUUUGUUGGAAGAUUAGGUUCCCAAGAAGAUCUAUGUGCAAAGAGUUGGACCAACUUUCUUUGAGAGAGUGAGAAAAAAAAAAAAGGAGGAAUCUAAGAGGAUCACGAAUAAAGCCAUCAAAAAAACAGUUGGACUAGAAAAGCCAACAUUGCAGACAUUUUCUGAAUAAUUAUACAGUGGAUAUAAAAAUGAUUACAGAAUAAACAGAAGGAAUAGAAAAGAAACAUAAAAUGGAGUUUGAAUAACAUUUUUUCCCGUCAGCUUUCGAUUGAGGCAAAAAUGGUUACGAAAAAAUGUUAUCCAGUAGCAUUGGAAUGCAUCUCCUAUGAGGAGAAGGUUCAAGCAGAAAGGAUAUUUAUUUGAUUUACGCACAGAUAAAAUCCUGGAUACCGUUUUGUUGGAUAACAUGUUACCAAGAAGAACUAUGUGCGAAGAGUUGGACCAACGUUUUUUGAGAACUGAAGAAAGAAAUAGGAGGAAUCUGAGGUGGUCAUGCAUAAAGCCAUCUGAAGAAUAGUAGAACCAGAAAAGCCAAACAAUGCAGCAAAUUUUAAGACACUUCUUACAGUAGAUCUCAAAAGAAAGGAUGAUAACAGCAUUAAAAUGGAGUAAUACAAAAGAAACAUAGAACGGAAUUGGACCAUUCUCAUGUUAUCAAACAAUGAGGUGCAUAAUUUAGUAACAUCAGCAUCUAAACACACCACAAUCACCUACCCCAAAAUCACAUUGCUAUUUCUUUUUAUGUGACAAUAAAAACCCAUCUUUGCGCCAAUUUUCGUAGUACGAAUAAUGCAUUCACCAGAAAAGAUAUAAAUCUAAUAUCACCAGAGUCCGAACACAAAACCUACUACUAAGUACUAAUAAGUACUAACUCACAUUGCUAGUUUGCCACCUACUUGACAGUAUUGGCAUUAUCCAUUCUUUGUUUUUUUUAACAUUGUACUUAAAUGCAUUUACGGCUAUCCAAAAUUUCUGAACAAUGAAAAAUAAAAUUAACUUCAACAUGCAAACAGCAUAGAUCCUAGUUUGGCAUACAAAAAUUGCAAAACUUCAGAACAUCUUAAGAAGUCUUUGAUUUUAAUAGAACAAGAGAACUAACAGUUGAACUUUUUCUUGGCUAUCUUCCCCUCGUUGAGCGAAUACAAGAAGUUCUUUACAGCUUCAGCAUUAAACCGAGCAGUAUACUGCACCCAAAACAAAAGGGUCCAAAUUUCACGCAACUCAUACACCAGCAUUAUAAAUGUCUUAACUUUAAACACAUCCGUUGAAAAAAAAAAAAAAGUUACCUGAACGACCACAACAUAAUACUUUGAAUUGUUGCGGUCACUACAAUCAACCACACUAGAUUGGGCUUGAGUGUUAACCUGGGAAAUGCAAUACAAGGUCCAAAUAAAUAAUUCAAAAAAGAAAAAGCAGAAUGCAAGGGGAAUUGAAGAGGGAUUUCAGAUUGGAGAUUUGAGUUGAAUGAGUUGGGUACCAAGACAAUGCUUUUGCAGAGAUGGUGGACGGAGGCGGCGCCGAGAACGUCGCGCCGGUCAUCGAGAGACCAAUCGUAGUAAUCGGCAGGUACCCUCUUGAAGGCGAAGUCUUUCACGCCAUUGGCGCGGAGAAUGGCGGAGAGACGAGCUUCUGUGGCGCCGAUGGCGUCGUUUUGAGUCGAGGUAGGGAUGGGGGUAGAGCUGUGUUGGGGAAGAGAGGCAGAGGAGGCGAGCUCGAACUUUGAUAUGCGUUCUAGGAUUUGGGUUUGGAAUCGCUCCAGCUCUGCUAGUGAUUUUUCCAUUCUCUCUCUCUCUCUCUCUCUCUCUCUCUCUCUCUCCUGAGUCCAAUUUUCGAGCUUUGGUUAGCCAUACGAACGACGCGUUUCUGAUUGUCGUUUACGAUAUUGUAAACGACAACCGGUCGAUUAAAUAAUGUACAUAACUGUCUUUUUCCUGCUUUGCUCAUCUUUAGUCUCUAUCCGUUCUCUCAGUUGGCCAAAAAAUUGCGUGGUGUUUGGUAAAUUGGUAGGAAUGUUUUGCCAUUGGGAGAGUCUUUGUAUUUUAGAAUAGCAAAAGAAGAAUGUUAGCUACUUUUUCCUAUUGCCUUUUUUAUUUUGUUUUUUUCAUUUAUUUUGUGUCACAUGCGUUUAAUUUACACAUAAAUCUUAUAUAUGUAAUGUAAAAUAUUAAUAUUUUAAUUAAAAAAUAAUUAAAAGGUUUUUGAACACAUUAAAUACAUAAAUUCAUAUGUUCAUGGAAUAUACGUGGCACAAAAUGAAUGGGAAAUGCAAAAAGGGAAAAGCAACACACAAGGUAGCUAGCACUCUUCCGAGUUUGAAAAGCUAGCUUCCUUCCCAUCUUAUGACCCGUUUGGUUCAAGGUUUAGGAGCUUGAGAAUGAGUUUGAAAUUGCAUUCCCAUGUUUGAUAAGUGUACUUUUGGAAAUGCAAUUAUGGACUUACUAGUAUGGACUUCCCAUGUGGGGAGGAAUUUCAUACCCUUGGCUGAGUUUGCGAAUUUUUUCCCCCUACUUGGGAAAGUAGUUAAUGCAAUUUUUUAUGACUAACUUACCCCUAUUCUAUUUUUAAAAUACAAUGUUUUAACUAGGGGUGGCAAUUUUGGGCAUGACCUGUUACACGACUCAAAACUCGCACGAGAAUUUAGCAGGUUCAACCUGCACAUUUAAAAUUUUGGUUCUUUUUGGGUAAACCCGCCAUGAUCUAUUUAAUAAACUGACAAGUUUCGGGUCAAAUCGCCAACACGCUAAAAUACCUAUAUAAUCCGUUUAAUAAAACGGGUCAUGGUGGGUCAACCCGCCAAUCAGCUAAAAUACCCAUGUAACCUGCCAACCCACUAACCCAUUUAUUUGUUUAUUCUUCAUUUUUCUAAUUUUUUUUUAAUGUCUUUUAGUUGCUACCACUUAGGGGGUCAACCUGACACGACCCAAAAUCUGCACGAGAACUUAAUGGGUUAACCCGUGCAUGACACGUUUAUUAAAGGGGUUAGGUUUGGAUUGAGCAUUUCUGACACGUAUAUAAUCUUGACAUGACACGACCCAUUGCCAAUCCUAGUUUUUAACCUUAGAAAAACUCUUCGUAUUUCUUUCUUUGUGAUAUAAAAAAAAAGGUUUAUUUAUUUGCAUGCCCCAUGUGCUUUCAAACUUGUCUCAGAUUACCACUUGGACUUUGAAACGUCUCAAAAUACCCCCCAUAAUUUUAAAAACGAUCUCACGUUACCCAUUUCGUCAGUAUUAUAGAUGUUCCGUUAUGUGCUACGGGCCCUACUUCGUUUUAAUCCUUAACAUUGGAGAAUAAGAGUUUUUUCAGAUUCAGAAAAGAGGAAGGGGGUAUUUGGGUGAGAAGGGGAAAUUUGGAGAAGAAGGCUAGGGCUUAUCAAAAUCUGAGGUGGGGUUUGAAUUUUGGGAGAAUCUGGAGAAGAAAUCACUGUUUGGGCUGGGUUGCUGCUGCUGCAGCUUGUAAUCUAUACCCAGUUCCUAAUCCUUCGCCUUGAAGAUACAAACUACAAAGAACAAUGAUAUAUUUAUAUAUCCCAUUUGAAAUAGAUGAAAGCACAUCAAGAUACAAGCUCAUGUCACCACUCUCUUUCAUAAGAUCUAGAUUGGAUGGGGAAAGGAAUGGAGAAAUGAAGGGGAAAAUAAAAAUCUCCAUCACAUAAAAGAUACUGCCCAGAUAGGAAAGAGGCCAGGUGCUGGAUUUUGUGGGUUUCUCCAUGGAGUAAGACUUAGUUUUUCUUUCGUAAGCCUAUUAUGUCCAAGCUUUCCUCCUGGAAGCCAAGUAUUAGUUGGGUGAUCAAAACUCUGCCAUAUAACAACAGAUGAAUUAAAUGCAUCUGUUAUGAUCCCAUUGUCAAGUAGCAUUGCUACGGUGGAAUGAGAAACCGUUGACUUAGAAUGAGUUGGCCAAACAUAUUAGUUCAAGCAAAUCAUCAGACUUAAACAAAGAGUUAAGUUGUUGCUUCCUCUGUUAUUAACAUUAAUAGUCUCUGGUUUUCCAGGUUACAAAGUUGUUGACAAAUCUUAUGCUGUUAAGAUAAAAUUAAAAGCCCAUCAUCUAUCAAUCAGAACUUGGUAAAUCAGGGCUGCAUUAGCUUGAUACAUCUCUCAAUCAGAACCCAAUUACUUGUAAAAUUGAUUCAAAAAGGGUAAAAAUGUAGGCAAUUUGGGGUCCAUAAUGGUCACUUUCCACCCAAAUUAUAAUUACUUGAUUUAGCUUCAAAUUCAUUAACUAGGUUUAGAGUACUUCUGUGUUCUUCAAUUUGGAAACACAAGUUUUCAGUGGAAGCAGAAAAUCAAGGAACUUUGAAGCAGAGAAAUAACCUGCAUGAGAAGGAAGUAGAACCCAAUCUGCAGUUUUAAUCAAACAUCUCCUCACGUCAAACUACAAAUACACCAUUAUAGUCUGUGAUUGCUUCAAAAUAAAUGUAAUUAACAGACCAUUGUGUUUAUUUGUAUUUAACCAAUUUCUGCAAAAAUCAGUUUAAAGAUUCAAUAUUAAAGCUGAAAUUUCUCAUUCUCACCCAAAUACCCCCUUUCCCUUUUUUGAAGCUGAAAAAACCCUUAUUCUCCAAUGUUAAUGAUUAAAACGAAGUGGGGCCCAAAGAACAUAUCGGAACGUCUAUAAUAUUGACGGAAUGGGUAACGUGAGACCGUUUUUAAAUAUGUGGGGGGUAUUUUGAGACAUUUCAAAGCCCAGGUGAUAAUAUGAGACAAGUUUGAAAGCACAUGAGGCAUGUACAUAAAUAAGCCUAAAAAAAAAGUUAAGGGCAUUGUUGGAAAACUAACAAAUUUUCAUUCCUAAAUCUGCACAAACUAAACAUAGGAAUAGUAUAAAAAUGACAUUUCAUGAUCAUCAUUUCCCAACGUUUCCAAACAUGAGAAUGAACAUCCUUCAUUCCCAUCUCAUGGGAUUAUAUAGGGGAAGUUCAUUUCCAAGAAGUUCAACCCAUGAACCAAACGAGCCCUUACAUUCUCCGUCUUUCAUAUUACCUACUCAUUUUGUGUAAAGUAUAUUUCACUUACACAUAAAUCUAUAUAUAAAAUAUAUUUAAAAACUCUUUAUUCUCUUUACAACAAAAUAUUAGAAUUUUGCAUUAAAUACACGGAUAUAUGUGAGUAGAAUUUACUUGACACAAAUUUAAUGGGAAAGACAAAAAAAGAAAAUUCAAAAGGAAUGCAGCUAACAUUAGAGGUGUUAAACGAGACGGGCCGACCCAGCAUUGCACGAGCUCAGCUCGUUUAAAUGGUGUACGGCAUGGCACUUCACGAGUAUGAAUAUUAGUAGGCCUUGCUCGGCACGGCACGAAAAAUUGAACUGGGCCGGAUUAAAAAAUAGGUCCAAUGAAUCAUGCCAGGCUUGGUCCGAGCCCGCUUCAAGCACGGCACGAGCCUGAGCCCACUUCAAACAUGGCUGAAGCCUGGCUCACUUUAUAAGUAGAUGAUGAACCACCAAACUUUUCAACGAACCUCCCAUGCCGCAUAGCUAUGGCAUGAAUGGUGAAGUUUUCCUUCUCUUUCCACUCAAGAAUGCAUUAUUUAUGCAACCGGUGUGAAAUAUCUGAGUAGCCAUCAAUACUUUAAUCUGUUUCUUUUUCAUAGAUUUGAACAUUGGUAUAGCGACUUCUACUUCGUUUUUGGGCAAAAAUUAUACGAAAAACUAUGUUACAAUUUUCAAGCCAAUUGAACCUUUUGUUGUUAUGAUUACAUUGUUUAAAGUAUUAAAUUCCAAAACUCUGAUAUGAUAGCAGAUGAAAUUCUGGUAUCUACUGUGUGUUCCUCGCAUGAAGACAACAUUCAGGCAAGCCUUCUAGCAUCCAUGCACAGCACCAUAAAACAGAUAAAUCUAAAAGGCUAAUUGUAACUUAGCAAUUUUGUCGAAAUUGUUAAUACAACCAAAUCCAUGUUGUCAGCAAGCAGGCUACACCUAACACCAGUAAACUAACAUUAUAAAUGACAUUAAAAUUAAUCAAUCCGGAAAAACAAAGUCAAUUGCCAUUUCUAUUGCAUAUGAGAUUUGACCCGUUCCACAUUUUUAUACCUUCUUAUUCAACAUCUGCCGUGGACUAAAGACAGUCUGGUAUUGUUCAAAAUCUGCAUGGAAUGACCAAUAAUGAGGAAGAAAAUUGAUCAAGUUGUUUGGUGGUACAAGUAUCUGUCAAUAAUAUAGUCUUGAAAGGUUUGGUUUUGACAACUAAGACAGACAUUGUUAGUAGCCCCAUUUUCAUCCCAGACAAGUCUCUUCCUACAAUCUGAUAGGCUAAUUUUCUAUAGCAAUGACCUUUUCAAUCGAAAACUGUCGUGUAAAUAACAUCUAAUUAGUGUAAGUUGGAUUGGAUGAUGGCUAGCUACAGGGGAGACAGAGUAUUUUGGAAUCAAAUGCUCAUCCAAAUAUUUAGCAUUACAGUGAUUCAGCAGAGUUGCUCUACUUCUAGCAGCUGUGAAGAUCAUGUUGUGUACAUAUUUACAUAACAGAAAAUCUUAAACGAGCCAAUACGACACGGCCCGAUAAAUUAAAUGAACUGACACAGCACGGCACUAAUACCUUAAAGACACGAAUUUAAAUGAGCCGGGCAGGGUGACACCUCUAGCUAACAUUCUUCUAAAAUCAAAAUGAUCAAGAGUUUUGUGUAGCGGUUCCAAUCCAAGAUAGUUUCCCACAGCUUCUUUGUUUGUCUAUUUUGCCCACGGUUUUGAUUGGUCAAAAAUUGUAAAAGUAAAGUCUUCAUCAGUCCUUCCAGAACGUUGACCCAAAACUUCCUCCCCACUCAAACGUCUCAUCGUCAUUCCUUUCCAGCUUUGUCUCAUUUUCAGACACCAUAAAACCCGACAAAUCCCACAAACCCCUCCACUCUCUGCAACAAACAAACCGCCAUAAACCCACAACUCACUGAACUCAAUUCAUCACCAUGCACAAAAGCACUUCAGGCUCACUAGGCCCCAGCGGCCUUGACCUAACCCAGGCCUUCUUCAAGCCCAUCUCCGGCGCCGCCUCACCCUCCUCCACCAAGCGCCACACCAAGAUCUCCGUCAUCGGCGCCGGCAACGUGGGAAUGGCCAUCGCUCAGACCAUCCUCACCCAGGACCUCGCCGACGAGCUUGUCCUCGUCGACGCCAAGCCCGAGAAGCUCCGCGGUGAGAUGCUCGACCUCCAGCACGCCGCCGCCUUCCUCCCCCGCACCAAGAUCAUCGCCGACGUCGACUACGCCGUCACCCACGGAUCCGACCUCUGCAUCGUCACCGCUGGGGCCCGCCAGAUCCUCGGCGAGUCCAGGCUCAACCUGCUCCACCGGAACGUCGCCCUCUUCCGCAAUGUCAUCCCGCCGCUCGCCAAGUACUCGCCGGACACGAUCCUACUGAUCGUGUCGAAUCCGGUCGACAUCUUGACCUACGUGGCCUGGAAGCUGUCCGGGUUCCCCAGCAGUCGGGUUGUCGGGUCAGGUACCAAUCUGGACUCUUCGCGGUUUCGAUUCCUCAUUGCUGAUCAUCUUGAUGUCAACGCUCAGGAUGUGCAGGUGGGUUUCUUUUUUUUACUUCUUCAUGACAUUGCAAAUGCUUGUUUAUAUAUUUGAAGUAGUUUUGAUAUGAAAUUUCUCAGAUGUUUUUUUGGUUUAUAACUAUCAAUUUUGGAUAAAACAUGGUUCUGUUUUUUCGUUUAUUUUUUCAUUUAGUAUAAUAUUACUAGAGAAUCUAGAAUCACUCUCAAACGAGCCUUUAAUUAGAUUAGACAACUUAGUAAACAAAAGAAAAGACAUAAAGUUAAACAACAAUCGCAUAACAAAUAGGAAAAGAGCGAAAUAGUAUCCAAUCAAUAACACAAGAUAACAAGUUAUAUUUUCUCGCCUAUUUACUACGGCAAAGAAUCAAAUUAUCACUAUAUUUAUUCUUUUUUUUUACUUCAUAUAAUUUCCCUUGAUAUUGAUAGUUUAGCGUUAUUCUGUAUUCUCACACCCUCAUAUUUUGGUAACACUGAUAAUGGAGACAAACAAUUUGUUUUUUGUGUGUAGAUAUUAGUCCAAAUUUUCAUGUAAUUUCUUGGGUAGUUGAUAUUUUAAUUGAAAUUUCUGUAUUUUAAGACCAUCCAUAUUGAUGUUUUAGUAGAUAAAACCCCAGAUUUUAAUGUAAUUUCUGAGCUAUGAUCAUAUCUUGUUUGAUAUUUCUAUAUUAAAGUGAUUUCUGUAUUUUUCUUAUGGAAUUAUGGGAUUGUAGGCUUACAUUGUUGGGGAGCAUGGUGACAGCUCAGUGGCAUUGUGGUCGAGCAUUAGCGUAGGGGGAGUGCCGGUGUUGAGUUUCUUAGAUAAGCAAGAAAUAGCUUACGAGAAAGAGACGUUAGAGAGCAUCCACAAGGUGGUUAUAGACAGUGCAUAUGAGGUGAUCAGUCUAAAAGGAUAUACUUCUUGGGCAAUUGGAUACUCCGUGGCCGCGCUAGCUUGGAGCAUAUUGAGAGAUCAGAGGAAGAUCCACCCGGUCUCGGUGCUUGCCAAGGGGUUUUACGGGGUCGACGGUGGAGAUGUGUUCUUGAGCUUGCCGGCCCAGCUCGGGAGAGGUGGGGUUUUGGGGGUGACCAAUGUGCACUUGACUGAUGAGGAGACUCAGAGGCUGAGGGACUCGGCUAACACCAUCUUGGAGCAGCAGUCUCAGUUGGGAUUAUGAAUUCGAUCACCAAGAACAUGGUGGGAUUGAUAUCCCAUCAAUCUUAGUUCCCACUUCUCUGCUUCAGUUUGUUCUUUUCGAAGGCAACAAUUGUCCAGUUUUUGGCUUCAACUAACAGAUGGUAUCUUCACGUUGUAAUGCGGUUUUGGCUUCUUACUGUGGCCUUCUGUUUUAUUUCUCAUGUAAUAAAUAUUAAAUCAUGAAGUUGGAUUAUAUGUCUUUUAAGACUAGUUUUAUAUAUGAAUUGAAACUACCUUUGAACAGAACUAAGAUUAUAUGUCUUAAGAGAGAAAUAUUUUUGCUCACCACUCUUCUCAACACUUGACACAUGUUCAUAAGCUUAACGAUAAUUAGCUAUUUGUUUUGUAUUUAUGGAAUCAUGGUUGCAUUCAUGGGCAUGUGUUUAGUGUUGAGAAAGGUGAUAAUGAUACAUAUUGGGUUAAAGUGGUGAGUAAAAAUAAGCUGGCCAAUAAUUUAGGAAAUGUAAAAUAUCAAAUUAAGUUUGUAUCAAAUUUAAAGGAUACGGAAAAACUAGUUCGAUUGAGCAUCUCCAAAGGAAGAGGCAAAUGAAAUAGGCAAAAUUGUACUAUAACAACCUAGGUGGUAUGUUGCCUAUUCAUUUGCCUCAUGAAAAAAGUUGAUCACUCAAAAUAUCAAAUUAAGUUUGUAUCAAAUUUAAAGGAUACGGAAAAACUAGUUCGAUUGAGCAUCUCCAAAGGAAGAGGCAAAUGAAAUAGGCAAAAUUGUACUAUAACAACCUAGGUGGCAUGUUGCCUAUUCAUUUGCCUCAUGAAAAAAGUUGAUCACUCAAAGGGACUAGAUAAUACAAGUCUACAAACUAUUAUUAUAUUAUUUAUUUCUAUCUUUUCAUAUGCUAUUAUAUUUUAUAGAAAGUAAGUGAGAGAGUGAAGAUGAUAUCUUAUUAUAAAAAUCAAGUGGGAUUCACUAUACCUUUUCACUUUGAAGUAGGCAAUAUUGCCUUGUUGGGGAGAGUAGGUAUAUUUUGCCUACCUAUUUGCCUCAUGAAAAUGCUGAUAUGACAAGGCAAAUGAGUUUUGCCUACUCUUUUGCCUCUUUCCUUGGAGAUGCUCACCAAAACUUUUUCCUUCACAUGUAUUCGAGUUUCUGGUGAGACAUUUCUGGCAUUUGGCACAGAGAAAUGGCUUAUGAUCCAAAAAUGAAGUUUGGAUAUCCUCUGCCUCUCUGUCCUGAUUAAUGGAUUUCUCUUUGGCCAUGGAUCAGGUUGAUCACUAGAAUGGUUUUUCGGUUGGUUGGUUUGUUUUUUGCUGAAAACUUGUGCCGGUCCAGCCAAAAAAGAAAAAAAGAAAAAAAGAGAGAAGGUGGGCUGGUUGUUUCCUUGUUCUAAAUGGGCUUUACCAAAGUGAGGCUUUUAAUUCUUCUUAACAUAAACCACUAAACUUAAAAACUUUAGCCCGUAUUAAACUCUCGUGAACCAAUCACAAUCUCUACGUAAGUUCAUUAAGAAUUAAUCAAUGGGCCAUGUAAUUUGGCACAAUUAUUUUAACGGCCCAAAAAAAAAAACAAUUUUCGUUUUGAAUACAAGUGAUAGUUUAAAUUAUAAAGGGAAAAUAAUUUCUCAUACAUACUACUAAGGUGUCAUGGAGGUUCGAACUUGAGACCACUAAUAUGCAAGUCAAGACCCUUUUUCAUUGAGCUCGACGCCUUUGACAAAGAAGACAAUUUUAUGAAGAGAUUAGACGAAAGUACAUUGGUCUUCUUUUGUUUGGUCUUCAAGCAUGGCAUCUUCGUCUUUUGCCAAAGACAAAAUUGAAAUGACAUAUCUAGCUAGCUAGCUAGCAAGCUCUAUCACGAGAAAACGUAUUGGCUUAUUUCAUUGUGAGAGGUUGUCUAUGUGACAAAGAUAAAAAUCAGAAACUGUUCGAAUUGUUCCUUGUGUAGUCAGUGAAGAUUAGAAUAUGGACACCUGAGGUUGCUUCCCCAUUUGAGGUAUCCGGUCAUUUACAAGAUGUUUACAUCUCUACAUUUUGUGCUUAUUUAGAAGUGUUUUUAUAAGUAAAAACAACUUUUAUAUAAUCAAAAGCGAUUUUUUAAAGAAAAAGUUAAAAGUGCCUUUCAAUUCUAAAAAUAUUUCUGAUUGCUUUUGAAGACGUGUUUCUAAGUGUUUAAUUUUUUACUGUGCUUCCUACAAAAGUAGUUCAAAACGGACCCUUAAUUACUUUAAAAAGAUGUGUGUCAUCACCACCUUAUCUUUGGCCAAAAAUCGAUCCAAUUAGGAAACAUACAAAACAAGAAAAUCAAUGAUCACCCAAAUCAACUGCAACCUUUAAAUUAUAUGUUGAUGAUAGAAUUAGAGUAUCCAACAUAAAAUCAAUUAACACUAGGUGGAGAGCCUUAAUUAAGAUCUAUAAUCUUACAUAUUCAUGUGGUGUAAGGCUUUACUUUCUCUGGUAUAAGAUAAUACUCUCAACAUUUCAACUCCAAAAUUCUUAAAUUCAUUUUGAAUUAAUGUUUAUACUCAUUAAUUAGGUUACAUUGGAAGAAGUUUGGAACCUAUAUGGUCUAUAUAUAUAUGCAUAAAACAUGCACAAUAUUUACAUAUACUUGCAUGUUCCAAACUUCCACCGUCAGUUUUGUUAAUUUGUGUUGCACUGUUUCGUCCAUGUAUCACUGUUUCAGUGCGUACAUACAUACGCCACUGCUUCAGUGCUUCUAGGCCUUUUCCAAAACUGUGAAUACGCAUGUGACGCGUACUCAGGCAUCUCUCUCUCUCUCUCUCUCUCUCCAGUGGAUGUUAUUAUUCAGAAGUGAUUAAAAAUUAACGAGGGAGCUUAAUUAUUAGAAAGUUGGUUUUAGCUGUAUUAUUAGACAUUUCGUAUUCUAUAGAUUAUUUGAUUAACAAAUUGGUGUUUUCAGAACAUGGCAUGUAUAAAAUUUCAGUGAUCCUGAUCACUUCAGUGAUCUAAUCACAGAGGUCACGGACGGGAAUAAUCCGACUAGAAAGAGUCAAAUUGGACAACUUAACAAUUCUAUAUAUUAUAUAAGACAUGUACGUACAGAUGCCACCAUACUUGAUAUAGUUUGAUAAUUACCAAUCAGUGCUUCCUCUUUGUCAUGUAUUCGUCAAGAUGCAUAACCACCACCACCACUACUAUUACCAUUUGAGGAGGUUAUCUGUAGGGUCAAAUGAAUCCAAAGGGGUCUUUUCUCUGAAUAAUAUUUGUGCAGUAUACUGGGUUUGUGUGGUACAACGAAUCUACAUGUUAUGACAUGAGUGAACGAUAUGAUAUAAUCAUAUUACAUAACAAAUGUACUUGUUAUACCAAGUGACAUGAGUGAACGAUAUGAUAUAAUCCUAGCUCAUUUUAUUAUCCUCUCACUGGCAUCGGCAAGUUGAGGACAAGUUCUGUAAUGACAUGACAUAUUUGAAUGCAGUUGCUCAAAAAUUAUUCUUGGAUAACUAUACAAACCCGCAAUGUAUUCUAACAUUCCAAAAUUGUGUGAAUAUAGAGCAAUAUGACCCCCUAAAUAAAAAUCCAGUUCAUUUUCAAGCUAAAACACAAGAAGAGUAGCAGAGGAUGACAUGUCGUACGGUUGAUUUGGACGUCUCCAGCAUUAUCAACUUGCAAAACAUGUAAAUAACAAUCAGCAUAUAUUAUAUAUAUGAAUGAAAUGGCCGCAAUGCAUGACCAAUUACUUCAAGUAAAUAUCAUUUUACUCUGCUAUUGCUGAAUAUUAUUAGAACAUUGUUUCGUAGGGGACAAGAAUUAAGCAGACCUGGCUUUUAUAACUAAACACACACAAAAAUCCAAACUCCAUAAUCCCAAAAGCUUAUCCCGCCAUGUUGCUUUGCCAGGUUGUAUACCCUAGGCAUCAUUUCCAAUCCAAUGUGCCCAUAUGGGUCAUUCUAAUUAUUUUAAUCCCCACCCUACAUCACUCUCCAUCUAUAAAAGCCCUAGCUAGCUACCAAUCUCAAACACAUCACAUCUCUCAACUUAUAAAUCCUCCAAAAGCUAAGAGCCAAUCAAUUUCCCAAAUGGCUUCCAAGGCUCUAGCUUCCACUGCUCUCCUCCUCUCCCUUAACCUCCUCUUCUUCACUUUGGUCACCUCCACCAAUGUUGCUUGCCCACCACCUCAGAAAAAGGGUCAUAAACACCAGCCCAAGCAUGCAAGUCCUGCACUACCCAACCCUAACCCCUCUAAGCCUGCCACGUGCCCCAAAGACACAUUGAAAUUGGGGGCAUGUGCUGACUUGUUGAAUGGUUUGGUGCACCUUGUUGUUGGUCCACCAAAGUUCCCUUGCUGCAGCCUCAUUGAGGGCCUUGUUGAUCUUGAUGCUGCUGUGUGCCUUUGCACUGCAAUCAAAGCUAAUGUCUUGGGGAUCCACUUAAACAUCCCCGUUUCACUCAGCCUGCUCUUGAACUACUGCGGGAAGCAGGUCCCAAGUGGCUACGAGUGUGCUUAAAUUUGAAGUACUAUUUAUCCGUACUGCUCUCAAUUUUUAGCACUUGGGUUUUCAUUAAUUUCCUUCGUUUCUCAUUUUCAUCAUGGUGUGCCUAAGAGCUUUGUUGGGAUGUUUAUUGGUAUAUUCCAUUAUACAUUCUUAUUAUUAAUAAUUCUUUCUAUAUUGUAUUGAUGGAUGGAUGGAUGGAUGGUAGGCUACUUGCCUUCUUCCACAUCCUCUAUAGCAACUGUAUUUUAGUGAAAAUAUUAUUGAUUGAGCUGAAAUAAUGAAUUUGUGAUGUUUCAGAAAGUAAUUGAAUUUGAGUUCCUUAUUGCAAUGUUUGUUCUACUACUACAAUUUUAUUUUCUGGGUAUAUGCACUACUGCUAAUUAGUACUCCUGUCUCCUAUGCAUUGUGAGGAACAUGAAAUCUCUUAUUCAUUGGGUCCAAAAUAAUAGUUGGAAGCGAAAAAAUUGAUUGUGAUUUUUCUAAGAAUUGUUAAUUGUUAAAGAGCAUCCGUAUGUCGAAAGAUGGAACCUUAACACAAGAGCUUAAAAGAUCUUUGGUCUACCAACGGGGUCUAGCUCAAUGAAAAAAGACAUCGACUUGCAGACUAGUAGUCUUAAGUUCGAACUUCCAUGACACUUUAUUAGUGUGUAUGUGAGAAACCCUCUCCACCUUAUAAUUUAGACUAUCACUUAUAUUUAAAAAGAUCUUGAACCUCUCUAGCCAUUGCAAAUUAAUUUUGAGAGAUUUUUUUUAUCAAGACAUGUUAAACUAAUCAACACAUGCUUUUUGUUGACCUUAUUCUUCCUGGUCGUACAUACGAAGAAUUAUAGCAUCAUUGAUUCAUCGCACAUUUCACUUGUGUAAGUGGCUAGAUAUAAGCAUAACUUUGAAGUUAAUUAUUAUAUUCAUAUUAACAAGCGUUUAUGAUCCAUGUUGAGCUUGUGUGGAACUACUUCUGGAGAAGUGCAUUCAAGAAUCACUUUCGAAUGCUUUUUCAAAAAGCAAUUUGAUUUUUAAUAAAAACUUUGACGUUCUUCUAAUAAUAGAAGCACUUUAGAAAAAAGUGUUUAUGGGCAAAUUUUCCUGUAAAAAGAAGUCACAAACGGGUUACGGGUUACGGGUCCGUUCGUUAUUAGAGAUCCAAUUUUCUAGAUAAUUUCAGACUGUGAAGUUAGAGAGACCGAGAAUGAAUUUUGAAGUUAAUCAUGUUAAUAUUACUAAGAUACAUGAACAAAGGUGGCGGUGGCCCAGAGUUUGUAGAUCCAACUGGCCAGAUAAAUCAUGUAUAUGCUAGCCUGUCAAUCGUAAAUUCGAACUGAAAGUUAGCUAUUUAAUCAAUAAUUAAUAUAUGUGUUAACAUCAUUUUACCCUCUCAAAAUUUAGGAUCAUUCUUCAAAUGAACCACCCAGUUUUAAUUUUGUCAAUUUACGCCUAACUAUUUAAAAUUCGAUUAAUUUACACGUUCCGUCAAUUUGACCGUUUAGUCUUCUGUUAAGUGAUGAUCCACCUUUUUAGCUCAAGUAUAAUAAAAUAUGUAAUAAGUAAUAUUAAAAAAAUUCUUUAUUUUAAAGUUAAGUAAAAUCAAUUAUUUAAAACAACAACAAAAACAUAAUUAAAAAACCCAACACUAUGACCAAACUCCCAGGCCAUUACCAACCAACUCCAAACCCAGCAUCUCCACUACCCCAUCCUUCUUCUUCCUCAUUUUUCUUUUCUUCCACAUCCCCACCUUCAUUCCCAACACCCAUUUCUCCUUCAGAUGCCUACGCUCAUCUCCUUCCUUUAGAGGGGGGAGAUUGGGGGGUAGGGAUGGUUUCAGAUCUGGGGUGCGAUGGGUUGGGGAAGGAGGAGAGUGGGUUGUUUGUAGGCGGUGGUUGUGAGGUAGUCUGGGUUGUUUGUAGGCGAUGAUUCUAAGGUGGUUUGGGUUGAAAGAGGAGAGGGUUUGGUGACGAGGUUUGAUUGGAAUGUUGUUUUUUUUUUUUUUUUGGUUUUAAAUAAUUGAUUUUAAUAUUUUUAAUUAACUUAAAUAGUAAAAAAAUUAAAUUAUGCUAACGACAAAAGACACCCUGCUGGUUUAGGGUCAUUAUCGAAUUGGACCCCACCAUAUCAAUUUUAUCAAUUUACGCCCUGACGUUUUGAACAUCGUCCAAUUUCAUCCUUCCGUUAAGUUGACUAGAUGGUUAAUCGUUAACUGUUGACGUGGCACCCGUGGGACCCACCCCAUCAACGAUUUGACCAUUCAUGUCAUGCCAUAUGAAGGACAGUCUUGGGUUUCUACAAUUUUUUUUAUAAAAAAAAAAAAAAAGAACAUCGCCCCUAAAAUUGGGCACGCUUUGCAAGAAGACGACUAAAGUAAAAGCCUCAAACCGUUGUUCGUCCUCAACCUCAAUGUAACCUAAAUCCUAAAUCUCCAUAGUUGACAGCAAGUUCUAUGAUUUCGAAGAAGUGAGAAGAAAUGAGUUGGGAUUUCAGGGUUUCAGGCGCUCCACAUCCAUCGUACGGUAAGUUGGUUUAAAUUUUUACAAUUUGGGAUAUUUGUGUUGAAUGGGUUAGAGGUCGUAAGGGUUAUUCUGGUUUGAAUGUUGAGUUUUAUAGGGUUUAGUGGAAUAGUUGGAGAAGUAUGAAAGAUUUUGUCGAAUAUAGGUGGCCUUAUUACAGAUUUCAAAUAUAGGUGGUCCUUCAAGCUAAGCAUGUGUGUUGGCAAUGUCUGCCUUUAAUACUCUAAGCUUCUGCUUUUAAUAAUGCAAAAGUGUUAGGUGGAAGGGUGUGAAAAAGGUUGUUUAAUAAAAAUUUGGACUUUUGUAUAAUGGUCCUAAACAGAAAAUAAUUGAAAAGUCAGUUAUGGUUUUUGUGUAAAGUUUGAAUACUGUGUUUUGUGUUGUGUUUUAUGUUUGAACUGAAAAUAACCCAUUUUUGGGACAUGUAAUAUGUAGGUGAUCCUGAAUUGUUUUCUAUUCGAAUGUACCAUGGUGGUUAAAUCUGUGGUAACAGUUAUGCUUCUGGCAGUGUAGCUUGGUUUGAUUAUUGUGACAAUGAUAGAAUGUCAAUGACUGAGAUAGACAAUAUAGUGAGGGAGUUAGGCUAUGAUGAGGUGAUUAGUUACUAGUAUAGUAUCCCUAUAUAUAGCAAUGGUGGCCUAUAGCAAAGCUUAAUGAUGAUCAAGAUGUCAUAGACAUGCUUGUAUUUGUACCAGAGACAAGGCUAAUAGGCAUCUCUUCCUACAUCAUGGGGUUGAUAAUAAUGAGCAUUGGUUUUAUAGUCAAUCAGGAUCAAAUAUGUUUGUUGAUGUAGAAGCUGAUAUUGUGCCUAACGGAGGAGUUGUGAUUGAGGAGCUUGAUGACAAUUAUGGGGCUAUUGUUCUUGUUGGUGGGAAAUGCAAACAAUGGAGGCAACAAAAAAGAAAAAAACAAGUGUGGUGAUAGAAGAGCUCAAUGAAGACCCAAAUGGGGAACAAAGUGGUGGGGGUUACGCAAAAGCUAAGGGAAUCUUGUGCAGGACAUGGUGUUUCUGAAAAAGGCAAAGAAAAGGCAGUAGAGAGAGAAUCUUCUGCUGUGCAAAAAGACAAAGAAAGAGCUGUUGAGAGGGAAUCUCCUGCCACUGUAGACAAAGGGAAAAGUAAAGUCAAUUAUGUUUUUGGAAAAAGGAGGGCGAGAGCUUUUGGUAAAAGGAGGUGCAAAAAUGUAAAAAAGACACGUAAUAAAGAAGACCAAAGGUCCAAUACAGUGACUGAGGGACUAGUUCAGAAAGAGGUUGUUGAAGGAAGUGUAGAAAAGAGCAACUUAUCAGGAUGUCAUCCAAUGAAGACAAGAAAAGCAAGAACAAGGACCACAGUCUGUCAUGAUGAGAAGGAGUUAGUAGACAGUCUUGACUCUGAUUUUGCAGACCCUAACUUCAGUUGUGAUGAUAAUGAUGAUGAUGUCGAUUUUGAUGAAUGGGUGGACAAACAAACUGAGUGGGUUGGAGAUGGGGCAAAAGGAAAAGAGCCAGAGUCAACAAAUGUUGGGGUUGAAUCUUAGGAUUGGGGUGCAGAUGUUGAACUGGAUUCAGAAGAGUAUGAUUAUGAUAAUGUGCAGCCUCAAUAUGACUCUGAAGAUGACACUCCAAUGACGGAUAUAUGGCCAGAGUUCAAUCCGGCAACUAACAUGGCAGAUCCAGAGUUUGAGGUUGGGAUGAAGUUUAGCGAUUGUAAAGUUUUUAGAGCGGUUGUGAGAGAACAAUUUAUAAAGAGGAAUAGGGAUGUCGUAUUUGUGAGAAGUGAUGCUUUAAAGCUAAAGGCAGUUUGUAGCCUAUGAGAGAUAUAUGUUUCCAAAAUGCAACAUGAGAAGACCCUGCAGCUUAAGAAAUAUGAGGGUUAACACACUUGUGGUAUUGUUUGGGAGAACCCUACUGUGAAGUCUAGUUGGCUGAGUGCCAAAUAUAUGGAAAUAUUGAAGAGCAAUCCAAGUUGGCCAGUUAGCUUAUUCAUGGAGACUGUGGAGAAAGAUUAUAACACUGGAGUUUCUAGGCAACAAGUUUAUAGGGCAAAAGAGAAGGUAUUAAGGCAGAUUGAGGGAAUAUACACAGAGCAAUACUCCAGAAUUUGGGAUUAUUGUGAAAAGUUAAGGAAGACCAAUCCAGGAACAACAACAGAAGUUCAAUGUGAUUUCAAUGAACAAUUGGGUCAUCCAGUGUUUCAAAGGUUAUAUGUGUGCCUAGGUGCAUGUAAAGCAGGGUUCAUUGCUAGAUGCAGACCCAUUAUUGGAUUGGAUGACUGCUUCUUGAAGGGUGUAUAUGGAGGGCAAUUUUUAGCAGCAGUUGGUAUAGAUGCUAAUAAUGAAACAUGGGUGAUUGCAUAUGCAGUGGUUGAGUCUAAGUGCAAGGAGUCAUGGGUUUGGUUUCUGGAAUUGCUGGUAAAGGAUAUAGAGAUUGUUAACCAGUUUGGAUACACUUUCAUAUCAAACAAGCAAAAAGGAUUAUUACCAGUUUUGAGCAAGUUGUUCCUAAUAGUGAACACAGGUUUUGUGCAAGACAUCUGUUCACCAACUUCAUAUUACAAUUCAAAGGGAAAACUUUGUUUGACAAAUUCUGGGGUGCUGCAAAAGCAACAACUGUUCCACAGUUUGCAAGACAGAUGGAAAAGCUGAAAAACCUUGAUAUGGAUACUUAUGCUUGGCUGACUGAACCAAGAAAACCUCCCAGGAAUUUGUCUCGAUCACACUUCAGCACUCAUGUGAAGUGUGAUAUGCUUUUAAACAAUAUGUGUGAGUUCUUCAACUCAUUCAUAUUGGCAUGCAGAGAUAAGCCAAUACUGACCAUGCUUGAGAUAGUUAGGUGUAAGUUGAUGAGGAGGAGACAAGGCAGAAGGGACAAAAUGAAGAAUUAGACAAAGGAAAUUUGCCCCAAGUGAGAUUAAUAAAGCAAAAGAGGUGGUUGUGUGACUAUGUGGUCAGGUGGAGGAAAAUUUCAAGUUGGCAGUGGUGGGAUUUCACAAUAUAUUGUGGACUUGGAUUUAAGGAACUGUUUUUGCAGAGAAUGAGAUUUGACUGGUUGGCCUUGUGUUCAUGGAGUGGUAGCUAUAAAUUACAAUGGGGGCUUAAACGUAAUGGAUUAUGUGGAUGCAUUUUAUCACACUCAGACAUAUUUCAAGGCAUAUGAAAACCUCAUACUACCUAUGAAUAGGAUGGAGUUGUGGGAUAGAACUAAUAUGCCACCAUGUGUGCCUCCUUCAUACUCCAAACAACCUAGAAGGCCAAGAAAUGCUAGAAGGAAGGAAACAGGUGAAUGCAGCAACAAGGCCAAUAUUGUUACAAAAGUUCAAGACUCACUGAGGUGUGGCCAAUGUGGAAGAAAAGGCCACAAUAAAAGGACUUGUCAUAGGAAUCUCCCCCCAAAAACAAAAGUCAAAAAGAGGAAGGCUGAGGUAAACAUCUAAGAAUGAACUUUUGUUAAUGUUAUAAAUGUUAAUGUUUUUGGAAUAUGAUGCAACUAACAGGUUUGAUUUGUUGUCUCAUCCCAGCAAACUACUCAAACAAGUGAAGCUGGUCCCAAUACAAAAACAAGGCGAGCUAAGCCUACAAGAUCUGUGCAUAAAGGAAAAAGAAAGAGAAAGGCCACCAAUGCAGCUGGAAGUUCAAAUGCACCACCAACUGAUUCAGCUGCUCCAUCCUCAACACCUACAACUGGAUCUGCCUCUCUUGCAACUGGAUCUGCCUCUCAUGCAUCAACUGAAGCUUCAACUGACAAUUCUUAUUUAUUGAGGAAACGACCUAUGGUUGUGGGAGCAUUAGACUUGAGCAAGGAAUGAUGAUGGUUUGUGUUGUAUUAGCCGGUUUGGUUAUUUUGAGCAUGAGACAGUUUUACCUUUAUUAGCUGGUUGGAUUAGGUUAUUAUAUUAUUAUGUUAUUUUGGAAGACAACUUGCCUUGUGAUCAAAUAUGUAAGACAGGUUCUGUUUUUUUUUUUUUUUUUUUUUUGGGAAUACAGGUUCUGCUAUUUUGGAAGGUUGUAAAUGUUGUUCUGUGGCUUAUUUUGUUGUAAUGCUACAAGUGGAUAUGUUAUUAGGUAGCCUAUUUUGUUGUAAUGCUGCGAGUGAAAAUCAAUUUGCUCAUAUGUUGUACACACAAGUUAUUGGAAUGAACAUGUCAUUGCAUUACCAAAAUUUCACACUGUAUGCAGAUUACAUAGCCAUUCCCAUUACAUAACAAAAAUGCAAAAUGUUCAUUCCCAUUACAUAACCAAAACCACACUGCUUUCCAUACCAAAGACACAGUGCAGAUCUAACUAAAUGCAUAGUACUUCCCAUACCAAAGCACAGUGCAUCCCUAAAACACCCAAUUUCAUGCCAAUUCCAAAGUUUUCAGCUUCAAUCCAUCUGAUCCACUAUUCCGUCCAAAGACGGACAUUGCAUUAAGCAUCCACGAUACCACCAAUGCUGCCCAAAGAACCUUUUCUCUGUGUCUAGUCUUUAUUAGUGAAUUCUCCAACUUAUCUCGCGAUUUUAGCAACCCCGGAAUCACAACUUUAGACCUUUCACACAUUUCCACAUCAUACCAAACCCAGAAAUCACAACCUCCUCUACUUUGCACAAAACCCACUCUGUAAAUUAACAUUUGCACCUGCUGCAAUUCAAAUUCUAAUAUUUUGCACCAAAUCCAGUUUUUUAUCUUUGUACACACAGCGAAUUGCCUUCCAGGAUUCGAAAUUGUCCACGAAGUUCGGAUUCUUGCAUUCUUACCACACCAACACACCAUCGCCUGAUGCUCCAUUUCUCCUUUGUUUUCUGGGUUAAGGAUCCAAUACAAUCGGGCGGCUCACUUCUUAGAAAUCGUAUAUCUAAGCCCUCAGCUAUGGAAAUUUAAGAUUUAUGUUGGGUUUAUGACAACUUUGGGGCUUUCUCUUCGAUCUCCAGUUGAGGUUGAGGACGAACGACAGUUUGAGGCUUUUACUUCAGUCGUUUUCUUGCAAAGUGUGCCCAAUUUUGGGCUCGAUGUUACAUUUUUUAUUUUAUUUUUUAUAAAUUGUAGAAACCCAAAACUGCCCUUCAUAUGGCAUGAGAUGAAUGGUCAAAUCGCCGGUGGGGUGGGUCCCACGGGUGCCACGUCAGCAAUUAACGAUUGACCGUCUGGUCAACUUAACAGAAGGAUGAAAUUGGACGAUGUUCAAAACGUCGGGUGUAAAUUGAUAAAAUUAAUACUGUGGGGGUCCAAUUCGAGAAUGACCCUAAACCAGCAGGGUGUCUUUUGUCAUUAGCCCAAUUAUUUUUUAUAUAUUUUAUUACACCUAAGCUAAAAAGGUGGACCUCAUGUUUGCCACAUCAUCACUUAACAGAAGACCUAGCGGUCAAAUUGACGGUAUGUGUAAAUUGGUCGAAUUUUAAAAUAUUAGGACGUAAAUUGACAAAAUUAAAACUACGUGGCCCAUUUUAAAAAUAACCCUAAAUCUUAAAGGGGUAAGAUGAUGUUAGCCUUUAAUAUAUCAACAAAAUGAGAACAUAAUUAAGCUACUAAAAAUUUUCUACAAAGAAAUUUAAAGCUAAAUACAUUGCAAAUCAUUUUUUUUUUUUUGGACAACCAUUGCAAAUCAAUGGUGAGGACAAUUCUUAAUUAAUUUAAUUAAAUUUAUAUUUCUUUUAAAUCCUAUGUUCCAGGUGACAGAAAACAAGUUCCAACAGUCCAACUUGGCCAAAUGGGUCAAGUCCAACUUGUAGCUCCUUGUUUCCUGUAAAGAUCAACAACCUAUGGAUUCAUCAUUAGCGCGCUAAAGAUCCAACGCCUUUCUAACGAGUCAGCAAAACGACAACUUGAUUUUAACCCUUGACUAAAAUUUUGUAAUUUUACAGGAAUUAUUUGACUUUCUUUUUUGUUUUUGUCAAAAAAGUCAUUUCCAUCUUAAAUAAAUAUGGUAACGGCAAAAAUAUAAUAUUAUUGUCGCCAAUGACGACUAUUAUUAGGGUAAAUUCAAAAAAAAUUGAUCUAUGAAUAAAUACUUGAAAAAUAAAAAUUUUGAAUCGUUGAAAAAAAAAAUCAUAGAUCCUAAAAGAUAUCCCACCUCUCUCACCUUCGAUAGAAAAAGACUGAUUAUAUAUAUGCGCUACUAUAAUUAAUGUGUUAGACUAGUGUAGGAUAACUUCUCCCAAUAAUGUGAUCUUAACUAUGUUAUUAUACGAAUUUCAGCACCAAAUUUCUAAUCCAAGAUACUGAUAUUGUAAAUGUGUCGGCGGAUAUGUAGCGAUAUUUUUUCUCAUCCUAUCAGUUACAAUUUUUUUUCUUUUGGUUUGGUAAAUAGGAAGAUCACAUGUUCGCAUCGUGGAAUGUACCCAAAAUAAUUGCACUUUCUUUCUGUACCGCAAACCCUAAAGCUAGCUCUACCUUUUUUUUUGUGCAAAAUAACUUUCCUCCAUAACCCGCCAACGAAAGAAAAUAGGGAAUGGACCAAACAUGAUUUCUCUUGUCUGUGCAAAAUCUAUAAUCUCUGUGAAACCGAAUUACAAGCUGGUGGGUUCUGAAAUCCAACACAUGCAUAUUCACGGAUUGCACUUCUGUCAACUAGUCACGGAUUGUUUAUUGAAGUUUGCACACCUCCAACAACAAUCCAAACUCUGCAUUUUAUUUUCACUUGGAAUCUCCACAGCUCUCAUGUUUUUUUACCACAGCUUCUUGUUGUUCUUCCACGUUUAAAUAUAGUCCUUGUUUUCCCUUCCAUUUGUCACACACAAAACUCACGGAUUGCUCAUAAAAUUCACCUAUAUAUAAUCCUUUGGAUCGUCAAACCCAUCAAAACCCAGAAGUUUUAAAGUAUAACUAGUAGCUAGUGAUCUUGUAAAAUCAUGGGUUCCAAGGUUACUGCCAUGUUCUUCAUCUCUUUGAUUUGCACGGUUUUCGCAUUGCCUCCAAUUCAAGCUUGUACACCUUGUACUCAGCCACACCCAUCAAAACCACACCCUCCACAUCAUCCAUCACAUCCACCACAACCACCUUCCCACACUCCAACCCAUCCCAAAAACCCACCAACCCCAAAACAACCACCACACCAUAAACCGCACCCAAAAGCCCCAUCCAAGAACCCACCGGUUAUAUCCCCGCCCAUAGUAAAACCUCCACCGCACCCAAAACCCCCAUCCAAGAACCCACCCGUUAUAUCCCCGCCCAUAGUAAAACCUCCAGUCACUAACCCUCCUGUGACAAUCCCACCCCCUUCCACUCCUUACCCCGGCAGCCCUCCUGGUGGUGGAGGAGGCGGAGGGGGCGGAGGGGGCGGAGGGGGCGGAGGCGGUGGUUGUGGUGGAUGUGGUGGUGGUGGAGGAGGUGGAGGUGGAACUGUUCCGGGUCCAAACCCUCCUCCGCCCACUUCACCAACAUGUCCAAUUGAUGCGCUUAAGUUGGGGCUUUGUGUGGACGUGCUUGGUGGUUUGGUGCAUAUUGGGCUUGGGAACCCAGUUGAGAAUGCUUGCUGCCCAAUUCUUGGAGGGUUGCUUGAGCUUGAAGCAGCCAUUUGUCUUUGCAC